CUGGAACGCGCCCCAGGCGCACCCAGAAACCCUUUGUGAACUUAUACCUUACUGUUGCCUCGGCGCAUGCUGGCCCCCUCGGGGUCCCUUGGAGACAAGGAGCAGGCACGCCGGCGGCCAAGUUAACUCUUGUUUUUACACUGAAACUCUGAGAAAAAACACAAAUGAAUCAAAACUUUCAACAACGGAUCUCUUGGUUCUGGCAUCGAUGAAGAACGCAGCGAAAUGCGAUAAGUAAUGUGAAUUGCAGAAUUCAGUGAAUCAUCGAAUCUUUGAACGCACAUUGCGCCCUCUGGUAUUCCGGAGGGCAUGCCUGUUCGAGCGUCAUUUCAACCCUCAAGCAUUGCUUGGUGUUGGGGCACUGCCUGUAAAAGGGCAGGCCCUGAAAUCUAGUGGCGAGCUCGCCAGGACCCCGAGCGCAGUAGUUAAACCCUCGCUUUGGAAGGCCCUGGCGGUGCCCUGCCGUUAAACCCCCAACUUUUGAAAAU
rnacentral:rRNA from 1 species